rnacentral:lncRNA from 1 species
CAAGACGUGUCAGGUACAUAACCUUCUUUUCUCAUUUUCUCCCACAAGGUCUCCAGAUAUCCAUGGAGCUUCUCGCUUUGCGGGUGAGACGAGUCGCCGGCUAUGAAUUUAUGUACUUCAUCUCCAUGCUCGAUCCAGCUACAUCCAGGUUCUUUUCUCACCCCUUUCUCUCUCAUUUUUCUCCUUACCUCUGUUGCUUUCUCCCAAAGACCUGCUGAUGAAUAUAUAUUGGCAAGUAGCACAUAGUGACUAGCUACGUCUGGUUCAAGCCGAACGAGAUUCUGAGCAGCUAUUUCUCCAAUUUCUAGGUUAUUGUGAAUCCUGCAAGCACCUAGGAGACUACUCCAAGCUCCAGCUUUGUUGAAAUCAAGAGGCAUCGUGUUCAUGAGCUGAUACGCUUCUCCAACUCUACCAGCCCUUCCAAGC